CCCAACGACUUUACCAAAAAAAAAAAAACACCCAACGCAAAACCCUAACCAUCUGAGCUUCCCAUUCGGCCGUUACAAGCCGCCCACACGAUUGAGACUUCCGAAGACGUAAAGAACAGAAGAAAAACCGGGGGAAAUCAAAGGAAGAAUCAACGAAAACAAAGGAUAAACGAACGAAAAAAAUUCAAAGUAUCAUUUCAGUAGUUAAUACAAUCCAACGGAUGAUAUAUGAUGCCCACUUAAAAAAAAAUUAGGAGAGGCAGCAUCCAGCCUGUCCUUCUGUCACCCUAGACAGGCCAAAAUUCCAAUCUUCCAGCUCCGCUGUGUUGUUAGAGAGAGCUGGGAGAGGGAGGAGAAGAACAGGAUGCUGAAGUUUUUGUCGAAGGUGAGGAUCGAGUGCAACCCCCUGGACCCACGGAAGACGGCGUGCAUGGAGCUGCUGGCGCAGUGCAAUGCGCGCAAGGCUAAGGAGUCAAACCCAGCAUGCCAGGUCGAGAUGCACCGCCGCACCGACGACCACCCCCCGCAGGUCGUCGUCACCUACGUCAACGGUGUCGAGGAGGCCAUCGAUGCUGCCUCCACUCCGGCCCAGGCCAUCCGCCAGCGCAUCCUCGACCGUGGCCAGCUCCUCGAGACUGAGCAGAUGUUUCGUGAGGCCGGCGAAUCCUGGCCCGUCAUCAUCCCCGAAAAGGAGCUCCACCAGAGCUUCCCAGGCAUCAAGGUGCAACUUUAAGAUUGUCAUGUGUCAGCAUUUGGAAAUGUAGGAAUGGAGCUCUCACAGGAUUGGAGGCUUCAUAAUAUGCUCACCAAAAAAAGCGGAAGAAAAGAGCCAGUAAUAGUGCAUUGUCAUUUUGGGAUGUCCUGUAGUUUGUCCAUGAGUGAGAUGUUAUUAGGCUUCUGCACUCCUUGAAGUCCGUUUUCUGGGAGACGUGUUCCUUAUGGCAUGUUUGAGCUUCUUAUUGCUGGCAGGACUUAUAAUUGGAAAUAUCUAAAUUAGAUAUCAUUUUGAUGUUAUUUAUGUUACUACUUAUCUUAACGGGUGAAAUUCAGUAACCCAAUGGACAUGGAAUUUUAUCCAACCAGAACAAUUUAACACAAGGGUGCUGGUCAGUUCCUAA